UCUCCGUAGGUGAACCUGCGGAGGGAUCAUUACAGAGUUCUCGCCCUCGCGGGUAGAUCCCCCACCCACUGUUAUCGUUACUGUGUUGCUUUGGCGGGCCGCCGGGCCCCGCUCGGCCGCCGGCUCCGGCUGGCGCGCGCCCGCCAGAGGCCCAGCAAACUCUGAAUGUUAGUGUCGUCUAAGUACUAUAUAAUAGUUAAAACUUUCAACAACGGAUCUCUUGGUUCCGGCUCGAUGAAGAACGCAGC
rnacentral:misc_RNA from 1 species